rnacentral:lncRNA from 1 species
GGAGGAAGCCCAAUUCUGUUUCAACAAAGCUCUGCUGGCAGACCCAUUGCUGGAUGCAGCCAAGUCCAAUAUGGUCAAGGCAGUGGCCAUGUCUAGAUUGUGUGCAGAAUUGUCCACAUGUUUUCUUCAAAAGUAAGGAUUCCACUACCUUACAAUCAAUGAAUGGUACAUUCCUCACAUGAACAGUGAGUGGGAUCCACUUAUACACUGUUUAUGAGUGGGGAAUGUAUCAUACAUUGAUUGUAAGAUUGUGUUUGCCCAAAAGUAAUAUCUAGUCUAGUAGGUACGUAGCUUUCCUAAUCCUAAUGUAGGGCCUAAAAAGCUAAUCCUAAUGUAGGGCCUAAAAAGCUAUGUAUCAUAUUCUUUUAGUAGACAUUAACAAAUGCCUUAGUUUGUAUCUUCAUGCUUCAAUUGGAAUUAAAAAAUGAACGAACAAAUAAAAGGAUAAAAAAGAAAAAAAAAUCCCAUUCUCAUGAAGAGAUUAUAUCUUACAAUACCACUAUUUUGGUCCAUAGGAUUGUUUAUACGCGUCCAAAGAUUUAGUGUGGCUGGUCUCUUCUUAAGGGCUGGAAUAGUAGACAAAACAGAGUCACCCCUGCAUUUGACACAUAUUUUGUCGCACACCAUUCAGGACUUAUUUGAGAUCAUCUGUAUUUUGAUGCUCAUGUGUUUUUCAGGUU